rnacentral:rRNA from 1 species
UAAAUUGUUCAUUAAUUGUGGACUGGAAUGAAAGAAAAAAUGGUUUAAGACUAUCUUAAAUAUUAUUAUUUUAAUUUAAAAUUUUUGUAAAAAUGCAAAAAUUAAUUUUAGGGACAAGAAGACCCUAUAAAGCUUUUGUUAAUAAUUAAUAAAUAUAAGUAUUGGUUAUAAAUUUUAUUGGGGCAAUUAUUUAUAUAUGAUAAUUAUAAAUUUAAUUUAAAUAAGAAAUUAUUAAUAGAAUGAUCCAUUAUUAAUGAAAAAUGAUUAAGUUACUUUAGGGAUAACAGGAUAAUUUUUAUUAGAAAGUUCUUAUUAAUAAUAAAGUUUAUUACCUCGAUGUUGAAUUAAUUUAAUUAAAUAGUGAAACUGCUAUUUUAAUUUGACUGUUCGUCAAUUAAAUAAUUACAUGAUCUGAGUUC